CCUGUCUGUGGCAGCCUUUCACGGCGGCGCGGCCUGUAGCGGCGGCGGCAAGCCCGGUCCGAUUUAAGCUCGAUUUUGGUCAACGCCGGUUUUCUCCUAGCUCCGGCCACCAAAACUUCCGAUCCUUGGCUCCAUGAACUCCCCUCAACCUGCUGAUCAUCAUACUAGGAGGAUUGCACCUAGAGUGACCGGUUUCACGUUCGUCGGAGCUCGUGGGUUCCCCUUGAUGUUAUUAACAACUCUCUAGAAGGCAUCGAGGCCUGAAAUUGAAGCUUUGACGUCGAAAUCGAGCCUUGCCGGAUUCUGCAAAAUUCUGGAAUUUUUCCGACCACCGAAGAUUUCGAUCGGUAUAUCUCGAGCUACAGACCAUAUUUUUCUGUGAUUCUUGAACCAGUGAGUUCUUCUUGAGUUUCUUAACAACUCUUCAGAAGGAAUCGAAGCCUUAAAUUGACGUUUUUACGUCGAAUUGGAGCUCGCCGUUUUCUGCAGUUUCUCGCCGGUUUCUGGAAAAUUCCGGCCACCUUCAUACUGUUCAAGGUGAUUGACGGUUUAAGUUGGUGGACGAUUGUGGAUCGUAUUCUGAGCUGUUGAGAAGACGCAGCGGGAUUAGAGGUGAGUAAACCUCACGUGGUUCAUAUUACGAACCCAAUAUAUUUAAUUGCUUUAUUUUGCAAUCAUAUGAACUAUUGUUGGUGUAUUAGACAUUCCUGUGUGAAUGUCUGUAUAUAUAUUAUUACGUGAAAUAAUAUGUAUUGUUGGAGUUGUGUUGAGUUUAUUGUUGAGAAACAAUAUAUUGUGAGGGGUAUUGAGUUUAUUGUUGAGAAACAAUAUAUUGUGAGGGGUAUUGAGUUUAUUGUUGUGAAACAAUAUAUUGAGAGAGAUGUUGAGUUUUAUUGUUGAGGAACAAUAAAUUGUUGUGAUCUGUGGAGAUCAAUAGGUCACGGGGUGACCAUGGCAUACUAUCAGCGAACCACGCUCUCGCGCCGGGUAGGUGGAACUGAAUAGUAUUAAAUCGUGAACCACGCUCUCGCGCCGGGUAGGUGGAAACGAUCAGUUAGAGCUCUAGUCUGUCUGCCAAUUGUUGAGUGGUGUUGUGAGAGAAAUGUUGAGGUUACUUGAGACUGUGAGUGGUCAUGUAUGAGUGAUGUUGAGGUUACUUGAGACUGUGAGGGGUCUUAUGUGAGAAGUGUUGAGGAUACUUGAGUCUUUUAAGAAUGAGUUCUUAAAAGAGAGCCUCAAGAGUAUCCUUCCUUUUAUGGUGAUUGUGUUGAGUUAUAUUAAUUGUAAAGAAAUAAAUCAACAAUUCUUUCUUGUUUACUCAUACUGGCUGUAAAAAGCUUACCGGGUUUUGUGUUGUUGCAACUCCCGGUACACUAUUCAAAUUGUGUAGCGGGUAAUCCUACAGGACAGGAGAACCAGGACGGUGAUCGUGCGGUUAGAGCAAUUGUUAGAGUUUUACAGCAAUUGUACGUUGUGAGGUGUGUUAUGCUCAUUUGAGCUUUACAAUAUUGCUUGUGAGAGUGAAUUGUAAUAAUGAACUCGAAGUUUCGAGAUUUGGAUUUUGUAAUUGUAA